rnacentral:rRNA from 1 species
GACGGAGGAUGCAAGCGUUAUCCGGAAUGAUUGGGCGUAAAGCGUCCGCAGGUGGCAGUUCAAGUCUGCUGUCAAAGACCGGGGCUUAACUUCGGAAAGGCAGUGGAAACUGAACAGCUAGAGUAUGGUAGGGGCAGAGGGAAUUCCUGGUGUAGCGGUGAAAUGCGUAGAGAUCCGGAAGAACACCGGUGGCGAAGGCGGCCUGCUGGGCAGUGGCUGACACUGAGGCGCGACAGCGUGGGGAGCAAACAGG